UACAGAGGUCUCAAGCGUUGUUCGGAUUCAUUGGGCGUAAAGGGUGUGUAGGUGGCGCCGUAAGUCGGGUGUGAAAUUUCGGAGCUUAACUCCGAAACUGCAUUCGAUACUGCGGUGCUUUGAGGACUGGAGAGGAGACUGGAAUUCAUGGUGUAGCAGUGAAAUGCGUAGAGAUCAUGAGGAAGACCAGUGGCGAAGGCGGGGUCUCUGGACAGUUCCUGACACUGAGACACGAAGGCCAGGGGGAGCAAACGGGG
rnacentral:rRNA from 1 species